ensembl:snRNA U6 U6 spliceosomal RNA
GCAUACAUACAUACAUACACACACACUAAAAUUGGAACAGUACACAUAAGAUUAACAGAGCCGUGUGCAAGGAUGAUUCACACAUUUGUGAAUCAUUUUGUAUUUGU